rnacentral:rRNA from 1 species
AUUGAACGCUGGCGGCAUGCCUUACACAUGCAAGUCGAACGGUAACAGGUCUUCGGAUGCUGACGAGUGGCGAACGGGUGAGUAAUACAUCGGAACGUGCCCGAUCGUGGGGGAUAACGAAGCGAAAGCUUUGCUAAUACCGCAUACGAUCUACGGAUGAAAGCAGGGGACCGCAAGGCCUUGCGCGAACGGAGCGGCCGAUGGCAGAUUAGGUAGUUGGUGGGAUAAAAGCUUACCAAGCCGACGAUCUGUAGCUGGACUGAGAGGACGACCAGCCACACUGGGACUGAGACACGGCCCAGACUCCUACGGGAGGCAGCAGUGGGGAAUUUUGGACAAUGGGCGAAAGCCUGAUCCAGCCAUGCCGCGUGCAGGAUGAAGGCCUUCGGGUUGUAAACUGCUUUUGUACGGAACGAAAAGACUCUGGUUAAUACCUGGGGUCCAUGACGGUACCGUAAGAAUAAGCACCGGCUAACUACGUG